rnacentral:rRNA from 2 species
GUGGCAGCUGAUGAAGGUUUUCGGAUCGUAAAGCUCUGUUGUUAGGGAAGAACAAGUACCGUUCGAAUAGGGCGGUACCUUGACGGUACCUAACCAGAAAGCCACGGCUAACUACGUGCCAGCAGCCGCGGUAAUACGUAGGUGGCAAGCGUUGUCCGGAAUUAUUGGGCGUAAAGGGCUCGCAGGCGGUUUCUUAAGUCUGAUGUGAAAGCCCCCGGCUCAACCGGGGAGGGUCAUUGGAAACUGGGGAACUUGAGUGCAGAAGAGGAGAGUGGAAUUCCACGUGUAGCGGUGAAAUGCGUAGAGAUGUGGAGGAACACCAGUGGCGAAGGCGACUCUCUGGUCUGUAACUGACGCUGAGGAGCGAAAGCGUGGGGAGCGAACAGGAUUAGAUACCCUGGUAGUCCACGCCGUAAACGAUGAGUGCUAAGUGUUAGGGGGUUUCCGCCCCUUAGUGCUGCAGCUAACGCAUUAAGCACUCCGCCCUGGGGGAGA